rnacentral:rRNA from 1 species
AUUGAACGCUGGCGGCAUGCCUUACACAUGCAAGUCGAACGGUAACGGGCCUUCGGGUGCCGACGAGUGGCGCACGGGGGCGUAAUACAUCGGAACGUGCCCGAUCUCGGGGGGUAACGAGGCGAAAGCUUUGCUAAUACCGCAUACGAUCUACGGAUGAAAGCCGGGGACCGCAAGGCCUUGCGCGGACGGAGCGGCCGAUGGCAGAUUAGGUAGUUGGUGGGAUAAAAGCUUACCAAGCCGACGAUCUGUAGCUGGUCUGAGAGGAUGAUCAGCCACACUGGGACUGAGACACGGCCCAGACUCCUACGGGAGGCAGCAGUGGGGAAUUUUGGACAAUGGGCGCAAGCCUGAUCCAGCCAUGCCGCGUGCAGGAUGAAGGCCUUCGGGUUGUAAACUGCUUUUGUACGGAACGAAAAGCCUUCUUUUAAUACAGGAGGGUCAUGACGGUACCGUAAGAAUAAGCACCGGCUAACUACGUG